rnacentral:rRNA from 1 species
UACGAAGGGUGCAAACGUUGCUCGGAAUUACUGGGCGUAAAGGGCGCGUAGGUGGCCUUCUAAGUUGAACGUGAAAUCCCUGGGCUCAACCCAGGAACUGCGUCCAAGACUGGGAGGCUUGAAUCCGGGAGAGGGAUGCGGAAUUCCAGGUGUAGCGGUGAAAUGCGUAGAUAUCUGGAGGAACACCGGUGGCGAAGGCGGCAUCCUGGACCGGUAUUGACACUGAGGCGCGAAAGCCAGGGGAGCAAACGGG